CAGAACGACUUCCUGAGAGCGCGCGGCGCUUUCCUCGAGCUGGCCCAGCCCCGCCUCCGCCCCGCUGUCUCCUCCUCCUCCGGGCCUAGCAACCGCCAAGCGUCCCUUCCAUAGCAACAUCCAGGUCACCAGGCAGCCCUGGGCUCUUCUCUGUCUGACCUAUCCACCCCUUCCAACAAUAUUUGCUGGGCCUGACAAGCACCCUCGGUUCGGCCAGCAGAUGAAGAGCCUGAUGAUGGAGACCCAGGGUUAGCACCUCAUCACCGGCAGCCCUGUUGCUCCUAGCCACGGCUCUGUGUGGAGGGGGAGAGUCCCCCAGAGACCAGCUAGAAAUGCCUCAUUUCUGAAAAAAAAGCUUGUGCUGUAUACCGAACUGAUGUCUUCACAGGACACGGAGAAUCCUGACCUCAUUUUCAUCUUGUCAUGGGUGUCAGAUGGCACUAGGGUCAAACUAGGAUCACCUGCAUGUUAGGAAAGCGCUCCACCACUGAGCUACGUGCUCAUAUCUUAGUGACCCUAGUGAUUGUUUUGGUGGCACCAGACAUUGAACCUAGGAGCUCUCCCAUGCUAGCCCAGGCUGGCCUCAAACUUGGUGUGUCGCUGAGGGUGGCCUGGAACUGAAGAUGACCUGGAACUUCUGGUUCUCCUGCCUCUCCACCUCCCAAGCUCUGUGAUGAAGCAUGCAGUGGUGUAUGCAGUGCCUGGAAUCAAAGGCAGGACUUGCUGUGUGCUGGUCAAGCACUCUGCUAACAGUUACAUCUCCAGCCCCCCCACACAAGUUUUAGCUCUGAAAAUCCAGCUCUUCCCUAAAAGUCACCCUGCUGCUCUCUGAUGGAUCUGACCGGAAGCUAGGCCAUGAGACCCUGGUUUCCUUUUCGCCAGUCUUGCAUCCUCUCAUUUUCUCCAACAAAGCUGAGGUCCCUCACCGACAGCAGAUUCCCAUCUGCCCGCUGAGAAGAGCCGAGUGCCAUAGGUCUCUAACCCCAGAAGUCAGAAGAAGGCUGAAGCAGGGAGAUUGCUGUAAAUUCAUAGCCAGCCUGAGCUACGCAGGGAGACCUUACCUUCAGUCAAACAAACACAGGGAAGAGAACUAGAGACAUACACAGUUCAGGCAGUAGAGGGUUUGCUUAGCGUGUGCGAAGUCCCAGGCUCCACCCCCAGCACACGUGAAACCUGGCGUGACACUGUAUGCCUGUGAUCUCACACUUAGGAGGUGGAGAAAGGAGAGGAGGAGUUCAAGGCAUACAUAAGACUCUGCUUAAAAACAAACCAACAUGAACGGUGGUGGUGGUGGCGGCGGCGGCGGCGCACAACUUUAAUCCCAGCACUCGGGAGGCAGAACCAGGCGGAUCUCUAUGAGUUCGAGGCCAGCCUGGGCUAC